UACGUAGGGGGCAAGCGUUGUCCGGAUUUAUUGGGCGUAAAGAGCGUGUAGGCGGUCAGGUAGGUCCGUUGUGAAAACUCGAGGCUCAACCUCGAGACGCCGAUGGAAACCAUCUGACUAGAGUCCGGAAGAGGAGAAUGGAAUUCCUGGUGUAGCGGUGAAAUGCGCAGAUAUCAGGAAGAACACCCGUGGCUAAGGCGGCUCUCUAGUACGGUACUGACGCUGAGACGCGAAAGCGUGGGGAGCAAACAGG
rnacentral:rRNA from 1 species